UAAUCUAUAGAUACUGCUACAACCUCAUAUCCAUAUUAUCAUGCUACCCAAGCCUUACAGGAGAAAGUAUCCGCAAUUAUACAAAUUAAUAUUUUAUCUUGAUAUAAAAAAAUAUAUAACUUCAUAUAAGUUAUUGACAAUUUUGGAAAGAGACAAACAAAAAGAUGAUGAAAAGAAUAUGGAGAGCAAAAUAUGCAAUCUAAUAAAUGAAAAGGCAUGGGAGGCGUAAAGAAUCUGAUCUAACAGUUAUUGGAUUGUCCAGAAAAAAGAAGAAAAAUAAUCUAAUAUCUGUAGAAAAUAUCAAGAUAGGAGAAAAACAACCUAAUUCCCA